rnacentral:rRNA from 1 species
AUACGUAGGGAGCGAGCGUUGUCCGGAAUUACUGGGCGUAAAGGGCGCGUAGGCGGCGCUUCAAGUCGUCUGUCAAAUGGGAGGGCUUAACCCUUUUUCGCAGACGAAACUGGAGAGCUUGAGAAGCAGAGAGGCAAACAGGAUUCCUGGUGUAGCGGUGAAAUGCGUAGAUAUCAGGAAGAAUACCAGUGGCGAAGGCGGUUUGCUGGCUGCAUACUGACGCUGAAGCGCGAAAGCCAGGGGAGCAAACGGGAUUAGAUACCCCGGUAGUCCUGGCAGUAAACGAUGUAUGCUGGGUGUGAGACUAGCGAUAGUUUCGUGCCGAAGUUAACGCGAUAAGCAUACCGCCUGGGGAGUACGGUCGCAAGAUUGAAACUCAAAUGAAUUGACGGGG